CAAGUUGGAUUGGAGCAGAAGGU
rnacentral:piRNA from 1 species